rnacentral:hammerhead_ribozyme from 1 species
CUACUUCUGAAGAGUCCCAGACUAGAGCGAAACAUCUUUCCAGUAC